rnacentral:rRNA from 1 species
UUAACUUGGAGUCCGAACUCUCACUUUCUAACCCUGUGCAUUUGUUUGGGAUAGUAACUCUCGCAAGAGGGCGAACUCCUAUUCACUUAUAAACACAAAGUCUAUGAAUGUAUUAAAUUUUAUAACAAAAUAAAACUUUCAACAACGGAUCUCUUGGCUCUCGCAUCGAUGAAGAACGCAGCGAAAUGCGAUAAGUAAUGUGAAUUGCAGAAUUCAGUGAAUCAUCGAAUCUUUGAACGCACCUUGCGCUCCAUGGUAUUCCGUGGAGCAUGCCUGUUUGAGUGUCAUGAAUACUUCAACCCUCCUCUUUCUUAAUGAUUGAAGAGGUGUUUGGUUUCUGAGCGCUGCUGGCCUUUAGGGUCUAGCUCGUUCGUAAUGCAUUAGCAUCCGCAAUCGAACUUCGGAUUGACUUGGCGUAAUAGACUAUUCGCUGAGGAAUUCUAGUCUUCGGACUAGAGCCGGGUUGGGUUAAAGGAAGCUUCUAAUCAGAAUGUCUACAUUUUAAGAUUAGAUCUCAAAUCAGGUAGGACUACCCGCUGAACUUAAGCAUAUCAAUAAG